CACCACUUGCAGUUCAUCUUUUUUUUUUUUGCAUUUCUAUCAGACGGAAUGAUCUGCUCCACACGUACAGUUCAUGCUGCUACCUGGUGGUGCUGACCUUCCACAAUCAUGUCAGGCCAGCUGGUUCAAGUGAGGAGAAGAAGAUUUGUCCCGUGGAGUACUGGAGCUGCAUUGUUCAUCCCACUGACAACAGUCACAAGCUAGAUGGGUCACAACUGCGAGGCUAGAUGGUUUCUCAGUGUUGUCUAUACGCACAACAUUCUGAGUUAACGUUCCCACGACAUUGGAGCGUGCUAUAUUAUCCUAUGUAGCAUAUCAAGGCAACCGGCUUACAGGAGAUAACUUCCGUCAUGUUGCAUAUCAAGGCAGUUGGUACCAAAUAAGGGCUUGGACUGGAGCAAUGUCCGAUCAUUGACUGUUUGGUGAGAGACCCAUAAAGCCGUCACCUUCAGUUUGUUCGCCAGGCUUUAGGAUGAUUAGAGUCUUGGAUUUGUAUGAUGCCAUGUUUGA